ACAUCCAAGCUUGAUGAUAAAAAAAGAAAGAAAAAAAAAAGAGUAGCAAUGAAAUACUUUCCCAUGCUUCUAUUCUGCUCCUCUUUGUUGUUAAUCAUAGAAAGUUCCACUGCAAUUGAUACCAUAAAUACAACUCAGCUUGUUAGAGAAGGUGAUACCAUUGUUUCAGCAGGCGGAACCUAUGAAUUAGGUUUUUUCAGCCCAGGUAAAUCGAAAAACCGGUACUUGGGGAUAUGGUACAGCAAAAUAUCUGUGCAGACUGCAGUUUGGGUUGCCAACAGAGAAACUCCACUUAAUGACUCAUCAGGAGUAAUUUUAAGGCUUACCAACCAAGGAAUCCUUGUUCUUCUCAAUCGGAGUGGGAGCUUGAUAUGGUCUUCUAACAUAUCGAGACCUGCGAAGAAUCCAGUUGCACAGCUUUUGGAUUCAGGAAAUCUUGUUGUGAAAGAGGAGGGUGAUGAUAACUUGGAAAAUUCCUUGUGGCAGAGUUUUGAACAUCCAGGUGAUACGUUCAUGCCAGACAUGAAGCAAGGACGGAAUAGAAUAACAGGCAUGGACUGGUACAUGACAUCAUGGAAGUCACCUGAUGAUCCUUCCAGAGGUAAUAUUACAUAUAUACUUGUUCCUUAUGGAUAUCCUGAGAUUCUUGUGAUGGAGGAUUCGAGGGUGAAGUAUCGGUCUGGUCCAUGGAAUGGUAUGCGGUUCAGCGGGACGCCUCAUUUAAAACCAAAUCCCGUAUACACAUUUGGAUUUGUUUUUAACGACAAGGAGAUAUUUUACAGAUAUCAUCUUCUUAAUAGCUCUAAACUUUGGAGGGUCGUGGCAAGUCAGAAUGGUGAUAUCACGAACUUUGUUUGGGUUGAUAAAACACAAAGUUGGCUGCUUUAUGGCACAGCAAAUACAGAUAAUUGUGAACGCUAUUCACUAUGCGGUGCGAAUGGCAUCUGUAGUAUAAGCAACUCUCCAGUGUGUGAUUGCUUGAAUGGAUUUGUUCCAAAAAUUAAAAAGACUGGGAUGCAAUGGAUUGGUCAAGUGGCUGUGUUAGAAAGAUUCCUCUAAAUUGCUCUGGAGAUGAGUUUCGAAAGCUGUCUGGUGCCAAGUUGCCUGAGACAAAAACAUCAUGGUUCAACAAGAGUAUGAAUCUUGAGGAGUGCAAGAGCACAUGCUUGAAGAAUUGCAGCUGCACCGCAUAUUCAAAUUUGGACAUCAGGGAUGGAGGAAGUGGGUGCUUGCUCUGGUUUGGUGACCUGAUUGAUAGUAGAAUUUUCAUUGAAAAUGAGCAAGACAUUUAUAUACGGAUGGCUGCAUCAGAACAAGAUGAUGGUGGUGAUGCUGCAAAGGUUAAUGCUAAAUCCAAUGUGAAGAGAAGGAUCAUGGUAAGCACUGCGUUGUCUACAGGAGUUCUGGUACUUAUCGUAGCAGUGGUCUUGUAUGUUUGGAAAAGGAAGCAGCAGAAAAACAGAAACAUAUCAGGUGGUUUGGGAAGAAGUUCAAAUUACAAGCACAAGAAAGAAGCUCUGGAAUUACCGGUGUUUGAUUUUGAUACCAUGGCUUUUGCAACCAGAAACUUUUCAGACGAAAAUAAACUGGGAGAAGGGGGCUUUGGACUUGUUUAUAAGGGGACUUUGAAAGAUGGACGAGAAAUGGCUGUGAAGAGGCUCUCUAAGAAUUCAAGACAAGGACUUGACGAGUUCAAAAAUGAAGUCAAGAAUAUUGUGAAGCUUCAGCACCGGAAUCUCGUGAAGCUUCUAGGAUGUUGCAUUGAAGGAGAGGAAAAGAUGUUGAUCUACGAGUUUUUGCCUAACAAAAGCUUGGACUUCUUUAUUUUCGAUGAAGCAAAAAGCUUACUUCUAGAUUGGCCUCAGCGCUGCCACAUUAUCAAUGGGAUUGCUUGUGGACUCCUUUACCUUCAUCAAGAUUCAGAUUAAGAGUAAUUCAUAGAGAUCUGAAAGCCAGCAAUGUUUUAUUAGAUAACGAGAUGAAUCCAAAAAUUUCAGACUUUGGCCUGGCUAGAUGUUUUGGAGGAAAUGAAACUGAAGCCAACACAAACAAAGUGGCUGGUACAUAUGGCUACAUAUCCCCAGAGUACGCAAAUUAUGGACUCUACUCGCUAAAAUCUGAUGUCUUCAGCUUUGGUGUAUUGGUGCUAGAGAUAGUAAGUGGGUACAGGAACAGAGGAUUCUGCCACCCAGACCACCAACUCAACCUUCUUGGGCAUGCUUGGAGACUGUUUAAAGAAGGCAGGCAUGUGGAGCUGGUUGGGGGAUUAAUAUUUGAAACUUGCAAAUUAUCUGAAGUUCUACGGUCGAUUCACAUAGGUCUAUUAUGUGUGCAAGAAAAUGCAAAAGAUAGGCCGAACAUGUCACAGGUGGUUUUGAUGCUGGGUAAUGAAGAUGAAUUGCCUCAGCCUAAACAUCCAGGUUUUUUUACUGGAAGGGAUCUUAUUGAAGCAAGCCAUUCAUUAAGUCAGAACAAACCAUGUUCUGCAAACGGAUGCUCGGUCUCCCUGUUAGAGGCACGAUACAAAAUGAGGAAUUCCCAGGACUCUAAUUCAUCACUUGCUCACCAAAAUCAAUUUAAAAGAAAGAAACAAGUUUACUCAAGCAUUACCUUAACAAAGUUCAUUGUCGGAAAAAUAAUGAGAGCAUCUGUGGACAGCAUUUCUAAACUUCUUUAUAUCACCAUUUUGUUGCUGAUCAUAACGAUAUCCACUGCAGUUGACAUCAUAAAUACAACUCAAUCUAUCAGAGAUGGAGGCAGUAUGGUCUCUGCUGAUGGAAGCUUUAAAAUGGGAUUUUUCAGCCCAGGAAGCUCCAAAAACCGAUACUUGGGAAUAUGGUACAACAAAGUAUCUGUCAUGACUGUAGUUUGGGUUGCCAACAGGGAAAUCCCCCUCACCAAUUCAUCAGGUGUGUUAAAGAUUACAGGCGAGGGGAUUCUAGAACUUCUCAAUCAAAAUGGGAGCAUCAUUUGGUCUACAAACUCAUCAAGGUCUGCAAGAAAUCCAGUUGCACAGCUUUUGGAUUCAGGAAAUCUUGUUGUCAAAGAAGACGGUGAUGAUGACCUGGAAAACUCCUUGUGGCAAAGUUUUGAUUAUCCGUGUGAUACACUCCUGCCAGGGAUGAAGAUGGGGAGGGAUUUAAUAACAGGCUUUGAUCGGUACUUGUCAUCAUGGAAGUCACCUGAUGAUCCAUCUAGAGGUAACUUUACUUUUAGAAAUGAUCCUAGUGGACAUCCUGAGCAAAUUCUGACAGAGAAUUCAAUUGUGCGGUAUCGGUCUGGACCCUGGAAUGGUCUACGUUUCAGUGGGGUCCCUCAAUUACGGCCAAACACUCUAUACAAAUUUGAGUUUGUUUUUAAUGACAAGGAAAUCUAUUACAGAUACCAGCUUCUUAACAACUCGAUUCUUUCAAGGCUAGUGCUAACUCAAAAUGGCAAUUUCCAGCGUUUUACCUGGACCGAUCAAACAGAUGUUUGGGCGUUUUAUCUGGCACUAUUUGAUGAUUAUUGUAGCCGAUAUGCAUUGUGCGGUGCAUAUGGGACCUGUGAUAUUACCAGCUCCCCUGUAUGUGGUUGCUUGAAAGGGUUUCUACCAAAAGUUCCAAAAGUUUGGGACAUGAUGGAUUGGUCAGAUGGUUGUGCUAGAAGGACUGCAUUAAAUUGCUCAGGAGAUGGGUUUCAAAAGUACUCUGGUGUAAAGUUGCCAGAUAUAAGAAAAUCCUGGCUUAACAAGAACAUGAAUCUUGAGGAGUGCAAGAGCAUGUGUAUGAAGAACUGCUCAUGUACAGCUUAUGCAAAUUUGGACAUCAGGGAAGGAGGAAGUGGCUGCUUGCUCUGGUUCAGUGAGCUGAUUGAUAUGAGACAAUUGAAUGAAAAUGGGCAAGACAUUUAUAUAAGGAUGGCUGCAUCAGAACUAGAUCAUGAUGUUGAUGUGAGGAUUGACUCCAAAUCCAAUAAAACAAAACGAAUGAGGAUCAUAGUAAUGUCUGUGGUAACUUCAGGAAUGCUGCUACUUGGUCUAGUCAUGGUCUUGUUUUUAUGGAAAAAGAAGCAGAAGAAAGGCAGUAUUCUCAAAAGAAGUGCAGACGAUAGCUGCAAGAAGGAAUAUCCAGAACUUCAGCUGUUUGAUUUUGGUACAAUUUCUUGUAGCACCAACAACUUCUCUCAUACCAAUAAACUAGGACAAGGGGGUUUCGGACCUGUUUAUAAGGGACUACUGAAAGAUGGACAAGAAAUAGCAGUGAAGAGGCUCUCGAAGAGUUCUAGACAAGGACUUGAUGAGUUCAAGAAUGAAGUCAUACAUAUUGCAAAACUUCAACACAGGAAUCUAGUUAAGCUUCUGGGAUGCUGCAUUCAAGCAGAUGAGAGGAUGUUGGUUUACGAGUUUAUGCCUAAAAAAAGCUUAGACUUCCUUAUUUUUGAUCGAACACAGAGCACACUUCUAGACUGGCCAAAGCGGUAUCACAUUAUCAAUGGGAUUGCCCGUGGACUUCUUUACCUUCACCAAGAUUCAAGACUAAGAAUAAUUCACAGAGAUCUGAAGGCAAGCAAUAUCUUAUUAGAUAACAACAUGAAUCCAAAAAUUUCAGACUUUGGCCUUGCUAGAAGUUUUGGAGAAAACCAAACUGAAGACAACACAAACAGGGUGGUGGGAACAUAUGGCUACAUGUCACCAGAGUAUGCAAUUGAUGGGCUCUACUCAAUAAAAUCAGACGUGUUCAGCUUUGGUGUAUUGGUGAUAGAGAUAGUGAGUGGGAGCAGGAAUAGAGGAUUCUAUCAUCCAGACCAUAACCUCAACCUUCUUGGCCAUGCAUGGGGGCUAUUUACAGAAGGCAGGUCUUGUGAACUAAUUACUGAACCAAUAGAAGAAUCAUGCAAUUUACCUGAAGUUCUACGGUCAAUUCAUGUGGGUCUAUUAUGCGUGCAAUGCCAUCCAAACGACAGGCCAAGCAUGUUAUCUGUGGUUUUAAUGUUGUGUGGUGAAGCUAAAUUGCCUCAGCCAAAACAACCAGGAUUUUUUACUGACAGGGCUUUGGUUGAAGCGAAUUCUUCAUCGAGAAAGAACACAUCAUGUUCAGUCAAUGAUUCCACGAUAACCCUUUUAGAGGCAAGAUAGAAUUUUUAUUUUUCCCCGAUAUAUUUCUUGCUAUGCUCAUAGAAACUAUAGUGCUUCUCAGUAUAAUUCGUAUACGUGCGAAAAUGAAAGUUUAAGAAUCUUGUUGUAUACUGGACUUGAAAAAAGCAUUGAAAGCAGCUGAAUUGGAGUAAAGAUAAAUGACUUGCGCAUGGUACAUGUAAUAGAAGCAGAAACACAGAAACCAUAUGCCACUACUGGAUGAAAUCUAAGGAAAUAGAGAGCAUGGAGUUGUUAAUUACCUUCAUUUCCAU